rnacentral:lncRNA from 1 species
GUGCAAGACACAGAUGAUGCUAAUACUUAGAUAUAAUUUUCAGAAAGAAUGAAAUUUGUAUAGAAAAGGCCAAGAUUCCUUGUGCUGGCUUGUGGGGGCAGGUGGCGAGGAUUGGGGGAGGAGGGAUAGGGACAGCGUCAAUAAAGACAGCUUUAUAGGCUGUGGCUGCUUCCUCAUGGACUGGAAAUGCACCCCCUGUUUCUCAUCCUCCACCCCUCUUAUCUCUCCCUCUGUCUGCCAUUGAUAUCUUGUAGUGGCCAGCCCUGGGCUAGUCAGUGAGAUGAGUGGCAUUUAAACCUCCCUUCCAGGGGCUUCUAACAGAAAGGAGACAGACCAGAAAAGCCAAAUAGGAAAACACGGGAUAAUGGAGCGAAGAUGGAAAUAUACAGAGAGCACCAUGGGACCAAGAGUGGGCAGGGACAGGUGGCAUCAUCCGAGAAAGGCAAUUUCCUUGGCAGUCCUGCCAGAAACCUCCCCAUAAGAUCCCGGGAAAGACCUGAUGGAUGGAGCUGCACGUUUUCACUCCUCUUCUCUGACCUGCCGUCUUAGCCUCAGCCCACGGCUCUCACUGUGCUGCACACGCACUGCUGUCAUUGUCCCUUCACAUCGCUGUCACUCGGAAAAUUAUCUCCGUGUCCGCAGAGCCUAUCGCAGAGCCUGCCAUGUGUAGACAUCUAGCACAUUUUGUUUGCUUGGUCCUCUGUGGUGACGCACAUCUCCCCGGUUACGAAUGAAUAAUCAUCAGAGCUGAUGUAGCUUGGACAUUUGCUGUGGGCUGGCAGCUAGGCUAAUAGCAUUACGCGUAUGACCUCAUUAGAAUGCUCUCAACCCACUCCUUGGCCAUUCUUCUUCUCGCUUUCCAGAUGUAGAAACUGAGGCUUAGAGAGACAGAGACCUGCUCACUAAUGUCAAAUGGCAGAGGUGGGACUUGAAGCGUCUGAUUUGAAAGGCCUGUGUCCCUUACCAAUAAGUUGGUGCUUCACUGCCUGUCUCGGAGUCAGUUCAGUAUAGCAUGUAGAGGGACGGCCUCUCAUUUGGUUCCUAGGCAUUUGAUGGACUCAAAAGAACCCCAUUUAUUUUAGCAUGUAGAAGGGAAAGAGUUAAUGACAGCAUUUGUUUAUAUCAUGUCCCAUUGAUUUUUUUAUUUACAUUGGUGACACAAACUUUUCCUUUUAGCCUAUUAAAGUAGAAAAAACUGAGUCUAUUUACAAAUAAUGUUGGGUGAAUAAUAAAGUAGUAUAACAAUACA